rnacentral:lncRNA from 10 species
GUUCUACUUUCCAGAUCAGCGAGUCUUCUGGGAGAGCAGCAGAAGGAUAAAAACGCAAAUAUCGAAGCACCCACAAUAACCCCAAACCCCUGUGGGCCUCUCCCAGAUGGCAACUUGUUUAUCAAAGCAUGAAAACCAAGAAGGUGAUAAAGAAAGUCUGCUAGCAAGACAUAAGUCACAAUCUUUUGUAAUCUAUUUAUGAAAGUGACAUCCCAUCAUCUUGACCACAAUCUAUUGAUUAGAAACAAGUACAGCUCACCCUCAACAAGAGGAGAUAAUAUCCAGGUGUGAAUUGCACAAGACUAAUCCAGUGGAAAAACUAUAUUCGACCCAAGGAUCUGUAUCCACACAGUUUGACAAUAAUUUACUUCUUUCUGGAAGCGAUGAGCACAGUGUAAUUCCUGAGAAAUUUUAAUAAUGAUAUUUUAAUUAUAAUUAAGUGAAACCUAGCAAAGUUGGCUGUAUCUGGAGGAACUCCACUGUGGGAAACAGAUUCUUAAGAUGGCUGAAGAUGGCUGUUUCGCUGCAUCAAUGUGUGACUUUCAAUAGAUGAUCGAAGAUGGCUGUUUGGCACUGUGUCUGAAUUAAGCCAGAAGGAAGGAGGAAGAAGAUGAAGAAAAGGCAUGCCUCUACCCCUUAGGACCACGUCUCUGAAGCUGUAUACAACAUUUCUGCUCUCAUAUAAUUGGGCAGAACUUAGUCAUAGAGCUACAUGUAGUUGCAAGGGAAGCUAUAUGCACUAAUGUGCUUAGUUAAACAUUGGGAUUCUCUUACUAAGGUACAUAAGGAGAACAUAUAUUUGGAGAGGCAACUAUCCAUCUCUGCCACAAGAUCUGAAACAAUUAUUGUGAGACUAUAAACAUAGAAAAAAGCUCCAGAGAUCAGGGGGAAGUCAGAAAUUAUUUGGGAUUCCAGUGAAUGGAAUGUUGACCAUAAAUGAGAAAUGAUGCUUGGGAUAAUUCCUAGCGAGCAUUGGCUUUUAGAGUUGGGAUUGAAGUCAACCAGCUAUAAAGAGCAAGACUGGGUGGGGUACUUUGAAAUGUCAUAUCAUUGUGUAUGGCUUUUGUGGUAGUUACUGCUUCUUUUUAGAAUAAUUCUCAUAACUAGGUAGAAAGCUCACCUUUGAAACUUCUGCAUGCCUAAUAAAAUGCUUCACUCACACCCAGUUGUUUUACUCAAGCGAGUAGUUUUAUGGUAACUGCAUUUGGGGUAACAGUCUUACAGAAGAGUUAACACAAUGGGCAGAUUCCAGGUGUGCUGUCAUUUGGAGGAGGCAAAUCCAUACAGACAAGAAGUAGAUUAGUGGUUGCCUAGAGCUGGAGGAGGGUAGGGAUAAGGAAUGGAUUACUACUGGGACUGGGUUUCUUUUUGGGGUGAUGAAAAUUUUCUAAAAUUGAUUGUGGUGAUGGUUGCCUAACUCUGUGAAUAGCAAUGAAUUGUGCUAUUGUACACUUUAGGUAAAUGGUAUGGUAUAUGAGUUAUAUCCCCAAUAAAGCUGUUAAAAAAGAAUGAGAAAGACCGAGUGACUUGCCAAG